CCGCCGGGCCCGCGGACACCAGGCGAAGAGCAACCGGGCGACGCGCGCUGCGGGCAGAGCCGGGGAGCCGGAAGAGCAGAGGCCGAGCGCCGUCGGAGCCGCGUCUGGUUGGAGAAAGAGGCGGACGUGAAGGGGCGGGGGAGCCGCGGAGGAAAACCGGGACCGGCGGGAACGUCUCGAGACCCCUGCGCGCUUCGCGCGCUCGCUCGGAACUCGGCAGGCGGCGCUG
rnacentral:lncRNA from 1 species